rnacentral:rRNA from 1 species
UUACGGGAGGCAGCAGUAGGGAAUAUUGGUCAAUGGAGGCAACUCUGAACCAGCCAUGCCGCGUGCAGGAAGAAGGCCCUAUGGGUUGUAAACUGCUUUUUUACGGGAAUAAAAAGCUCAUGCGUGAGAAAUUGAAGGUACCGUAAGAAUAAGCCUCGGCUAACUACGUGCCAGCAGCCGCGGUAAUACGUAGGAGGCAAGCGUUGUCCGGAUUUAUUGGGUUUAAAGGGUGCGUAGGCGGCCCUAUAAGUCAGUGGUGAAAGCCGACAGCUCAACUGUCGAACUGCCAUUGAUACUGUAGGGCUUGAGUACAAAUGAGGUAGGCGGAAUUGAUGGUGUAGCGGUGAAAUGCUUAGAUACCAUCAAGAACACCGAUUGCGAAGGCAGCUUACUAAGAUGUAACUGACGCUGAGGCACGAAAGUGCGGGGAUCAAACAGGAUUAGAAACCCCUGUAGUCCG